rnacentral:rRNA from 1 species
UACGGAGGGUGCGAGCGUUGUCCGGAAUCACUGGGCGUAAAGGGCGCGUAGGUGGCCCGUUAAGUGGCUGGUGAAAUCCCGCGGCUCAACUGCGGGGCUGCCGGUCAUACUGGCGAGCUAGAGCACGGUAGGGGCAGAUGGAAUUCCCGGUGUAGCGGUGGAAUGCGUAGAUAUCGGGAGGAACACCUGAGGCGAAGGCGGGCUACUGGGCCGAUACUGACGCUGAGGUGCGAAAGCGUGGGGAGCAAACAGG